rnacentral:rRNA from 1 species
GACGAACGCUGGCGGCGUGCCUAACACAUGCAAGUCGGAGCGGAGAUAAGCGGAUGGUAACUGAAGUUUGUCUUAGCGGCGGACGGGUGAGUAACACGUGGGCAACCUGCCUUGGAGUGGGGGAUAACACCGGGAAAUCGGUGCUAAUACCGCAUAACAUACACAUACUGCAUGGUGAGUGUAUCAAAGGAGCAAUCCGCUUUAAGAUGGGCCCGCGGCUGAUUAGCUAGUUGGUAAGGUAACGGCUUACCAAGGCGACGAUCAGUAGCCGACCUGAGAGGGUGACCGGCCACACUGGAACUGAGACACGGUCCAGACUCCUACGGGAGGCAGCAGUGGGGAAUAUUGCGCAAUGGGGGAAACCCUGACGCAGCAACGCCGCGUGGAGGAAGAAGGUCUUCGGAUUGUAAACUCCUGUCUUCUGGGACGAAGUAUGACGGUACCAGAGGAGGAAGCCACGGCUAACUACGUG